CCUACGGGACGCAGCAGUGAGGAAUAUUGGUCAAUGGGCGCGAGCCUGAACCAGCCAAGUCGCGUGAGGGAAGACGGUCCUAUGGAUUGUAAACCUCUUUUGUCGGGGAGCAAAAGACGCCACGCGUGGCGUUCCGAGAGUACCCGAAGAAAAAGCAUCGGCUAACUCCGUGCCAGCAGCCGCGGUAAUACGGAGGAUGCGAGCGUUAUCCGGAUUUAUUGGGUUUAAAGGGUGCGUAGGCGGAACAUUAAGUCAGCGGUAAAAUCGAGGGGCUCAACCCCUUUAAGCCGUUGAAACUGGUGAUC
rnacentral:rRNA from 1 species